UUCGUUGCAAUAGCGAGCUAUUACGAUUAUUUUGUGUCGUUGCCUUAAAUGAUGUCGUUGCUUAAACUUGCGUUGUAAUAUGGUAUUACAACGACACAGGAAGGCGUGGGCAUAAGGGUGAGUUGUUACAACAACAUGUGUCAUAGCAAUCAGUGGAAAUUAUAAUGCCCAUUGUCGUUGCAAUUUUGGUAAUUGCAACGGUAGGCGUCGUUGCUAUAGUGGCUAUUGCAACGACAUUGCGCUUUUGC
rnacentral:lncRNA from 1 species